rnacentral:rRNA from 1 species
UACGUAGGGUGCGAGCGUUAAUCGGAAUUACUGGGCGUAAAGCGUGCGCAGGCGGUUUUGUAAGCCAGAUGUGAAAUCUCCGGGCUCAACCUGGAAACUGCCAUUGAUACUAUUAGUCUUGAAUUUUGUUGAGGUAGGCGGAAUAAGUCAUGUAGCGGUGAAAUGCAUAGAUAUGACUUAGAACACCAAUUGCGAAGGCAGCUUGCUAAACAAAUAUUGACGCUGAGGCACGAAAGCGUGGGGAUCAAACAGG